rnacentral:rRNA from 1 species
UUUCCGGUUGAUCCCGCCGGACCUGACUGCUAUCGGAUUGAUACUAAGCCAUGCGAGUCUUUGUAGCAAUACAAGGCAUACGGCUCAGUAACACGUAGUCAAUCUACCCUAUGGACGGGGAUAACCUCGGGAAACUGAGAAUAAUACCCGAUAGAUCAUUAUGCCUGGAAUGGUUUAUGAUCCAAAUGAAUUUCGCCAUAGGAUGGGACUGCGGUCUAUCAGCUUGUUGGUGAGGUAAUGGCCCACCAAGGCUAUAACAGAUACGGGCUCUGAGAGGAGAAGCCCGGAGAUGGGUACUGAGACACGGACCCAGGUCCUAUGGGGCGCAGCAGGCGAGAAAACUUUGCAAUGUGCGAAAGCACGACAAGGUUAAUCCGAGUGUUUCCUGCUAAAGGAAUCUUUUGUCAGUCAUAACACCACUGAUGAAUAAGGGGUGGGCAAGUUCUGGUGUCAGCCGCCGCGGUAAAACCAGCACCUCAAGUGGUCAGGAGGAUUAUUGGGCCUAAAGCAUCCGUAGCCUGCUUUGUAAGUUUUCGGUUAAAUCCAUGUGCUCAACAUAUGGGCUGCCGGGAAUACUGCAUAGCUAGGGAGUGGGAGAGGUAGACGGUACUCCAUAGGAAGGGGUAAAAUCCUUUGAUCUAUGGAAGACCACCUGUGGCGAAGGCGGUCUGCCAGAACACGUUCGACGGUGAGGGAUGAAAGCUGGGGGAGCAAACCGGAUUAGAUACCCGGGUAGUCCCAGCUGUAAACUAUGCAAACUCGGUGAUGCAUUGGCUUGUGGCCAGUGCAGUGCCGCAGGGAAGCCGUUAAGUUUGCCGCCUGGGAAGUACGUACGCAAGUAUGAAACUUAAAGGAAUUGGCGGGGGAGCACCACAAGGGGUGAGGCCUGCGGUUCAAUUGGAGUCAACGCCGGG